rnacentral:rRNA from 1 species
UAGGGAAUCUUCGGCAAUGGGGGGAACCCUGACCGAGCAACGCCGCGUGAGUGAAGAAGGUUUUCGGAUCGUAAAGCUCUGUUGUUAAGGAAGAACGAGUGUGAGAAUGGAAAGUUCAUACUGUGACGGUACUUAACCAGAAAGGGACGGCUAACUACGUGCCAGCAGCCGCGGUAAUACGUAGGUCCCGAGCGUUGUCCGGAUUUAUUGGGCGUAAAGCGAGCGCAGGCGGUUAGAUAAGUCUGAAGUUAAAGGCAGUGGCUCAACCAUUGUAGGCUUUGGAAACUGUUUAACUUGAGUGCAGAAGGGGUGAGUGGAAUUCCAUGUGUAGCGGUGAAAUGCGUAGAUAUAUGGAGGAACACCGGUGGCGAAAGCGGCUCUCUGGUCUGUAACUGACGCUGAGGCUCGAAAGCGUGGGGAGCGAACAGG